rnacentral:lncRNA from 1 species
AAACUGUAUCCGAGAGCCCUUAAGGAGAAAAUAGAGAAAAAUGUAUGUACUGAAAUAAGUCUCCCAACAAUUUGAUCAGAUUUCUUUGAUACGACACAGUAUUCAUCUUUUAGCUUGCUCUACUAGGCUCCCCAAGGUUGGCACUUCUAGGAUCAAUGUUUCUCUAAACAGGUAAGUGUUAGUGUUAUGGUUAGUGUUAGGGCUAGCUUUAGAGCUAGUGUUAGGGUUAGAGUUUGUUUUGUU